GACGUAGGGGGCGAGCGUUACCCGGAGUCACUGGGCGUAAAGGGCGUGUAGGCGGCUGGGUACGCCGCGUGUGAAAGUCCCCGGCUCAACCGGGGAGGGUCGCGCGGGACGGCCUGGCUCGAGGGCGGGAGAGGCGGGUGGAAUUCCCGGUGUAGCGGUGAAAUGCGUAGAGAUCGGGAGGAACGCCGGUGGCGAAGGCGGCCCGCUGGCCCGUCCCUGACGCUGAGGCGCGAAGGCGUGGGGAGCGAACCGG
rnacentral:rRNA from 1 species